UCAUGUGGAGUGACUAAAUUUUACAAGGAGCGAUAUGACUCUUCGCCGACAAACAAAUCGUCAAUCGGAAAGUCCUUGACAUUGCUGUUCGUAAGGAAGGCUGAAAACACUGAUAAAGCCAACAGCGCACAGUCAUGAAUAACCGUGGUGUGUUGCCUGGGACGAAUGACUCUGGAAAGCCACAGGUGCAUCCUCUCUACAACUCACACAACAUAAAGCUGUACUCACACUUCAUACCAGUGUAUGUCCAGCACCCAUGGCCGACUAAUCUGGAGCUGGUUGAACCGGAACCGAGCCAGGUCUCGACAUCUCGUACGAGUUUGCACGGUUCAAUCCAACAGACAAAGGUUGUUGCACAUGUUCGAAACAGCUCUGUUCCUCGAGAAAAACCAAGAGAUCACACACAGAGGAAUGAUUGUCCGCCUCCUGCAGCACAUGGGGUAUUGCAUUGCCAGGACGAACAGGGAACUGCUGAGACAGCACUGGGGCUGAUAGCUAGUGCUUCUGAUGACGUUACGUCGCAACCUGAAACAAAUACCAAACAAGAGUGUGAACGUUUAAAGGACUUCCAGACACCGUGCAUUAAUAAAGGACAAGAUAUGGACACAGAGAGAUCUUCGAAGACAGAGCGGCCAUUGAAUAGAAAACAAGACAAACAGGCUAUGGUGCCAAAAACAGGCCGCAUGUCGAUACCCUUG
rnacentral:lncRNA from 1 species